rnacentral:ncRNA from 12 species
NNNNNNNNNACCACCAGGCGUUAACUGCAGUAACUCUGCGCCAAAAAGCAGCCCGUAAGGGUGAGGUGGUUCGCCUUCAACUUAAAUGCUAGUCUAUUAUAAGGCUACAUUCCCAAAUUGCGGGAACACCCUAAUGCUCUCACUUCCAAGCUGACAUUUGAAAGAAUGCAGUGGCCAGGCUAAUCACCUGGGUAUGGACAUAACGUCGAGAGAUGAUACAAUGGGCUAUCCGCAUCCUUUCCCUUCAUACGCAUAGUAUAUGGAAAAGGUUCAGAGACUAAAUGGGAAUGGCUAGUUUAUUAAAUUCAACGUUUUAGAUGCGUACUGAAGUUAAUGAUACUAGUUAAGAUAUAGUCCGUCGGUAGGUGAAAACUUACGGUUCAAAGCUUGAAGCUUGACCCUUGGAAGCAACUCAAUGCUUUCGAGUGAAUAUAAAACGGGAGCCUGCGGCUUAAUNNNNNN